GGGGGGGGGGGGGGGGGGGGGUGGGGGCGGGGGGGGGGGGGGGGGGGGGCGGCUGGGGGGGGGUGCUGGAGGGGGGGACGGGUUAGUGGCAGGUGAGGAGGCUGCCCUGGCCGGUGGGAUCCCUUCAGGAGCCUGGGGCUACUGCAGGCUAGGGGCUGCUGCGGACUGGGGGUGGUGGGACGGUUUCGGCGGUUGAGUCUGUGCUCGCGGCGUCUCCGCUUGGAGGUGGGGCAGAGGCUUACCAAGGCUUUGACGGGUAGCCGGCCUGAGAGGGUGACCGGCCACAUUGGGACUGAGAUACGGCCCAGACUCCUACGGGAGGCAGCAGUGGGGAAUAUUGCACAAUGGGCGGAAGCCUGAUGCAGCAACGCCGCGUGCGGGAUGACGGCCUUCGGGUUGUAAACCGCUUUCGCCUGUGACGAAGCGUGAGUGACGGUAAUGGGUAAAGAAGCACCGGCUAACUACGUG
rnacentral:rRNA from 1 species